rnacentral:rRNA from 1 species
GGCUUAAUGAAUUUGAUUUUAGGUCGAUCUGCCCAAUGAUAAUUUAAUUAAAUGGCUGCAGUAUAAUUAACUGUACAAAGGUAGCAUAAUAAGUUGUCUUUUAAUUGGAGACUGGAAUGAAAGAAUUAAUGAAAUAUAUACUGUCUCGUAUAUAUAUAUUAUGAAUUUAGAGUUUUAGUUAAAAUACUGAAAUUUGUUUAUGGGACGAUAAGACCCUAUAGAAUUUUAUAUUAAUAUAAAGUUAGGGAUAAUUUUAUAUUAAUAUUUGAUUGGGAGGAUUAGUAAAUUUAAUGAACUUUAUUUUAAAUUUUAACUUUGAUUUAAGAGUAUUUAAAGUGAUCGUGUAUUAAGAAUUAUAAGAAAAAAUUACCUUAGGGAUAACAGCGUAAUAUCUUUUUUAAGAUCAUAUUAAUAAAGAUGAUUGCGACCUCGAUGUUGAAUUAAGAUAAAUUUUAAAUGUAGAAGUUUAAUAAUUAAGUCUGUUCGACUUUUAAAAUCUUACAUGAUUUGAGUUCAAAUCGACGUGAGU